GUUUAAAAAAGACAUUAUUUAUGACAAUUUUCAGCAUCUUGACUCAUUUUUGCUCCUUGUUUUUCAUAUCUUCACAGGAAAAGCAGUGAAAUCAAAGCAGUUAUUACAAAGAUUUCUCUGGUAAUAAUUCAAUGAGUUUCAAUGGUAGCAUCUAAAUACCAAAACCAGCAUCCUGCUAUUUCAGAGUUCCAUCCAUUACUUUAAUUUCUCUGCAGGUUUGAUAAAAGGCCAGUUUUUUCAUGAGUAUUGGAGACUUUGUUCUUUGUACUGUUUCUUCUUGUUAGACCUCAGUCAAGGACCCUCUUCCAAGGCUUCCCUCGAAAGAAGAACACACAGAGUAUGGCACAGUCUGGCUGCCUGCUGCUUGACAACUACAGAAGAAGAACUUGAUUAUUUAUUUGGAAUACUUCUACAUCAUUUUACACCAGAGAGUCUGUGCAAAUGAGGAACUCAUUGGUUAUGUGAAGAGAGCACAGACGGGGCAUCUGCCCUUUUGGUCACCCCUUACUUCACACUGUUCUGGAUGGUUCUCCCAAAAUAGUGGUUAAAAAGUGAUGAUUAUGCUGUGCAUAAUCACACAGACAAGGGUUUCAAUUUGUCAGAGUAUUCUCUGCAUUUUCUAGUUCUGCAGUUCCGUGGAGGUUUUCCUAAAUGAGCUGUGGCUGAGGGAAGUACAAAAAUUAACUGCCUCUCUUCAGGAUAUAAGGUGUAAAAUUAAAGCCAUCAGAAAGAGGAAACCACGCUUAUAACAACCAAAGGCUCAACUUCUGUCAGCUCAGCACAGAGCUCUCCCCACCAUUGUCUGCCCCUGGAAUUAGAUUCCAGUUGCCGUUUUCUGAAGUACCUCAUUGACUACAGCUUAAAUUUUCCUUAUAUAUGAUUUGAAAAGCCUGGCUAUACUUUCUGUUCACCCCAGCCACAUCAUUUUCAAUGACUCCUUUAUUCUGGAAUUAAUGACAGAGCAUACUUUGUGGUCCUGUUGUACAGAUCCUAGGAAUAAAUUACUUCAGACUGUUCUAGUCA
rnacentral:lncRNA from 1 species